rnacentral:rRNA from 1 species
UACAGAGGUCUCAAGCGUUGUUCGGAUUCAUUUGGGCGUAAAGGGGUGUGUAGGUGGCGCCGUAAGUCGGGUGUGAAAUUUCGGAGCUUAAACUUCCGAAACUGCAUUCGAUAACUGCGGUGCUUGAGGACUGGAGAGGAGUACUGGAAUUCAUGGUGUAGCGGUGAAAUGCGUAGAGAUGAUGGAGGAACACCAAUGGCGAAGGCAGCCGUUCUGGGCCGAAACACUGACGCUCAUGCACGAAAGCGUGGGGAGCAAACAGG